UACGGAGGGUGCAAACGUUGCUCGGAAUCAUUGGGCGUAAAGCGCACGUAGGCGGCCUGUUAAGUCGGGUGUGAAAGCCCUGGGCUCAACCCAGGAAGUGCACUCGAAACUGACGGGCUUGAAUAUGGAAGAGGGUCGCGGAAUUCCCGGUGUAGAGGUGAAAUUCGUAGAUAUCGGGAGGAACACCAGUGGCGAAGGCGGCGACCUGGGCCAAUAUUGACGCUGAGGCACGAAAGCGUGGGGAGCAAACAGG
rnacentral:rRNA from 1 species